rnacentral:rRNA from 1 species
AUUGAACGCUGGCGGCAUGCUUUACACAUGCAAGUCGAACGGCAGCGGGGGCUUCGGCCUGCCGGCGAGUGGCGAACGGGUGAGUAAUGCAUCGGAACGUGCCCAUGUCGUGGGGGAUAACUACGCGAAAGCGUGGCUAAUACCGCAUACGCCCUGAGGGGGAAAGCGGGGGAUCUUUCGGGACCUCGCGCGAUUGGAGCGGCCGAUGUCGGAUUAGCUAGUUGGUGGGGUAAAGGCUCACCAAGGCGACGAUCCGUAGCUGGCCUGAGAGGAUGAGCAGCCACACUGGGACUGAGACACGGCCCAGACGCCUACGGGAGGCAGCAGUGGGGAAUUUUGGACAAUGGGCGCAAGCCUGAUCCAGCCAUGCCGCGUGAGUGAAGAAGGCCUUCGGGUUGUAAAGCUCUUUCGGCCGGGAAGAAAUCGCAUUCUCUAAUAUAGGAUGUGGAUGACGGUACCGGACUAAGAAGCACCGGCUAACUACGUGCCAGCCGCCGCGGUAACAC